rnacentral:lncRNA from 1 species
GUUCAGCAGGGUCUGGGCCAGGUCAGUCUCUCCCUGACUCACGACUGCCCUUUUCCUUCCCAGAAAAAAGAAGGCCUUGCCCAGCAAAGUCGAGGAGGAUCAGUACACAGAGCUCCAGCCCUAUGAGAAUGUACAGGGGGAUAAUUACUGCAUGAUCGAGACUUUUCCUGAGAAAGAUGCAGGUAAGUGUGGCCAGGCUGGAGAGCCAUUACCCCCGCCCCUGCCUGUUCGCGAGAGUCAGCAGUGAGGAAGAAGAGCAGCUGGAGUGGACAUCUGAGGCACUUCUCUUCUCAAGGCUUGGUCCUCCACCACUGGAAGCAUGACAAUGAAUUAUCUCAUGAGUUAUUGCUUCCCCCCAAAAUUUUCUUCUUCAUCAAGCUCCAGAAUCCUCUGCCACACCACAGGAGCAGCUUAAGGCAUGGGUUGACCUCCUCAUGACAGCAAGGAUGUGUCGCAGUAGUUCUACAGUGCUCUGGCAUAGCCAUCUCACCAGCAUCUUGGUGCCUGCAAAUAUUCCCUGAGAAUGGAGGAGCUCACAAUUCC